rnacentral:rRNA from 1 species
GUGGGGAAUAUUGGACAAUGGGCGAAAGCCUGAUCCAGCCAUGCCGCGUGUGUGAAGAAGGUCUUCGGAUUGUAAAGCACUUUAAGUUGGGAGGAAGGGCAGUAAGUUAAUACCUUGCUGUUUUGACGUUACCGACAGAAUAAGCACCGGCUAACUUCGUGCCAGCAGCCGCGGUAAUACGAAGGGUGCAAGCGUUAAUCGGAAUUACUGGGCGUAAAGCGCGCGUAGGUGGGUUUGUAAGUUGGAGGUGAAAUCCCCGGGCGCAACCUGGGAACUGCCUCCAAAACUGCAUGACUAGAGUACGGUAGAGGGUAGUGGAAUUUCCUGUGUAGCGGUGAAAUGCGUAGAUAUAGGAAGGAACACCAGUGGCGAAGGCGACUACCUGGACUGAUACUGACACUGAGGUGCGAAAGCGUGGGGAGCAAACAGGAUUAGAUACCCCAGUAGUCC